AAUUCUACGGGAGGCAGCAGUGGGGAAUAUUGGGCAAUGGGGGAAACCCUGAUGCAGCGACGCCGCGUGAGUGAAGAAGUAUUUCGGUAUGUAAAGCUCUAUCAGCAGGGAAGAAAGAAAUGACGGUACCUGACUAAGAAGCCCCGGCUAACUACGUGCCAGCAGCCGCGGUAAUACGUAGGGGGCAAGCGUUAUCCGGAUUUACUGGGUGUAAGGGGAGCGUAGACGGCGAUGCAAGUCUGAAGUGAAAGGCGGGGGCCCAACCCCCGGACUGCUUUGGAAACUGUAUGGCUGGAGUGCAGGAG
rnacentral:rRNA from 1 species